ensembl:lincRNA
AUGGUAUUUGGUUUCAGUGGAAUAUUGCUCAUCUGUUACCCUCCACAGAACUCCCGAGAAGAACAGAAAUCUGUCUGCCUCUGCUUUCCAAGGACGCUGACCACAAAUAAGGCUUUCAUGAUAGAAAAUGAAUCCAUAGGAAACAUCCUACAAGAAAUAUUUAUCCAGCAAAUGGCAUGUGGAAGCUGUUUCCCUGUGUUCCUAAGUCCCAGGCUGCGAGCACCACUCGCCUCCCUCGCGGUGUCUGGAGAGCGGGAUGUCUUCCAGGUUCGUCUCCUCACUGCUGGCGCCCCGUCCUGGGUGUGGGGCUCCUGCCACGGACGACUCCUCCGGGUGCAGCCACAGUGCGGAUGCUCUGCAUCUUUGCCGCGUCCAUCGCCUCUGCACUUGGCUGCCUGGACUAUUUUGGCUCCACCCAGCAGCCUUAGUGGAGAGAAAACAACGCCCCACCGUAAGCACCGUCAGCUUCUCUCCUCUUUGUUCCGUUUUCUGGCCAGUUUCUUCAACAACCCGCAGCCCCCUUGUUUCCUGUGGUCUGCUGCACUUGUUUAACAAUCGGUGUGCCAAGUAUAGCCCGGUUUCAUUACAGCUGUGCUCCACGUGGUUGUAAGCAGAGCGCACACAUACACUUUUGUAUUCUGAUUUUGUUUUCAUUUAAUUUAUAUCAAGAAUUACAUUGCCUUACUCCUACAUAGUUUCUAAUAAACAUCACUGUGUUGGCUUCAUAAUUAUAUCAAGGGGAAAUAUUAUUAUCUACUUCUAAAGGCUGCAAAAAAAAAAAUCUGAAUUAAAGAUUUGGUGAGUGAAGUUUAUCUCUUCAUUUGGAUUAUUUCCAUGGGCUAGAUUGCCAGAGUUGGGACUUCUGGGACAUAAGAAACAACACUUGGCUGGGCGCAGUGGCUCAUGCUUGUAAUCCCAGCACUUUGGGAGGCCAAGGUGGGCGGGUCACGAGGUCAGGAGUUUAAGACCAGCCUGGUCAACAUGGUGAAACUCCGUCUCUACUAAAAAUACAAAAAAUUAGCUGGGCGCCGUGGCAGGUGCCUGUAAUCCCAGCUACGCAGGAGGCUGAGGCAGGAUAAUCGCUUGAACCCGGAAUGUGGAGGUUUCAGUGAGCUGAGAUCAGGCCACUGCACUCCAGCCUGGGCAACAGAGUGCGACUGCGUCUUAAAAAAAAAAAACAAAAAACAAACAAACAAAACUUUGUGGCUUGUUAAGAUUAUUCAGUGUGUCGUCAUGAUUUUACAUGCUUGCUUUUCACUUUUAUUGUUUUCCUUCACAGACUGGACUCCCUACUUCCAGGCCCAAAGCUCCCAGGCCCAAAGUUCCCAUGCCUGAGCUCCUCAGCACUUGGAGAAGAGGUGGCAGCUGGGCAAACUGUCUCCAGACCACCAUUGUAGGGAGAAGGGACCCGAUGCCAUGACACUGGCGGAGUGGAGAAAACAUUCCCACCACUGAGGAGUUUGCUACGAGGGUUAUCAUGAUAAUGAUAUGACUAGCUACCGUUUACUGAGUUCCUUUAUGUUAGGCAUUGUAUUAUACCAUUUCCCCCUACAACCUGCUGGGUAAGUAGUGUGAUCGCCAUUUUCUAAAGGAAAAAACAGAGGCUCAGAGAGGUAACUAGCUUUCAGCUGCAAGUUACAAAACACCCCCUGCAAGUGGCUGAAACAGUGAGAUUGUCUUAUUCUCUCCUAUGACCAACCUGGCCAACAUGGCGAAACCCUGUCUCUAGUGAAAAUACAAAAAAUCAACUGGCCAUGGUGGCGUACACCUGUAAUCCCAGCUACUCAAGAGACUUAGGCAGGAGAAUCACUUGAACCCAGGAGGCAGAGGUUGGCAGUGAGCCAAGAUUGUGCCACUGCACUCCAGCCUGGGCAACAAAAGCAAAACUCAAAAAAAAAAAAAGAAAAAAAAGGCAGAAAGAAAGGGAAAGGUGUAAGGGUUUUUGUCUGCUUGUGUGCAUGUGUGUGCAUUUAUUUAAUAAAAAAAGGAAAUGUUUUCCUAAAGCCUACCAGCCAGUUUCUCCAUACAUCUUACUGACCAGGAGAAUAAAAUUACUUGGCUUGGCCAGGCUGGGUCUGUCUUCUCUGAGCACAUCGCCCCCACCCCUUCUGCCCCCACUGCAUGGUAUCUGAAUAAAAUUAUGCUACUUGUACCAAGAAGAAAGUGGGAAAGGUGUUGGGUAAGGGAAAACGUCUGUUACACUUCCUUCCCAGACAUUCCAUGGCAGAAGAUUCUCUUUUCAGAAGACAAUGCUGUCUUCCAAGAUCUUCGUUUCAGUAUGUGUUAACAGUAUGUGUGUGCGUCUGUGCACAUGCACACGCGUGUGGUUGUGUCUUGGGUGCUCAUAGUUUUAUUACUGGUGUAGCAUAUUCAAGUUAGAAAUUAGGCAAUCAGAAGGAAUGCGGCAGUAGUCAUUCUCGGCUGCUAUCUCGCACAUGGGACAGGGCAAGACAGUGUGAGGCUCCACAUACAUUAGGAAGAACGCAGGUUGAAGAUUUAGAUCUGGAUUCUAGCCCCCAGCUCUGCUACUUUCCAUCUGUGUUGCCUGGGUUAAGUUAUUUAAUCUUUUUGUUAUUAUUAAUUAGAUAUAGGGUCUGGCUCUGUUGCCCAGGCUGGAGUACAGUGAUGCGAUCAUAGCUCACUGCAGGCUCAAAUUCCUGGGCUCUAAGAGUCCUCCUGCCUCAGCCUCCCAAGUAGCUAGGGCUAAGGUUACAGGCACAUGCCACCACACCUGGCUAAUUUUUAAAUUUUUUUUUUAGAGAUGGGGGCUCUAUUUUGCUCAGACUGGUCUUGAACUCCUGGCUUCAAGCAAUCCUCCUGCCUUGGCGUCCCAGGGUGCUGGGAUUACAGACAUGAGCCACGGUGCCUGGCCAUUACUUAAUCUUUCUAAGCCUCAAUUUUCUAAUCUGUAAAGCAAGAAGUUUACACUAGGUAAUGUCUAAAGUUUUAAUAUUCUGUAAUGUAAUUUUUUUUUUUGAGAUGGAGUCUCACUCUGUCACCCAGGCUGGAGUGCAGUGGCACAGUCUUGGCUCACUGCAGCCUCUGCUUCCCAAGCUUAGCCUCCUGCUUCCCAAGCUCAGCCUCCUGCCUCCCAAGCUCAGCCUCCUGCCUUAGUCUCCCAGGUAGCUGGGACUACAGGCAUGUGCCAACACGCCCAGCUAAUUUUUGUAUUUUUAGUAGAGAUGGUGUUUCACCACAUUGGUCAGGUCGGUCUCGAACUCCUGGCCUCAAGUGAUCUGCCUGCCUCGGCCUCUCAAAGGGUUGGGAUUAUAGGCAUGAGCGCCCAGCCAGUCUACCACAUUAUUAAACCCAAAAAAAAAACCCUGCUCAAAUGCAUCUGCAUGCCAUAUGAAUGAGGGAGGUCAACAUUUUUUCUUGUAUAAGAAGAAUAAAAUAUAACAGAAUUAGAUAUAGCAUGUAAUGUAAGCAGAUUAUGGGCUCUUUUGAAAUGUCUUUAUUUUCAUUACAAACUGUGCUUUGAAUGAUUAUGUGUUAAGUGACUGUGUUUUACAUUUACAGCACAGCUCAUCUUUCAGAAUUUUCCUGCUAUUUCUGUUUUCUAUUUUAUUGGCAAUGCGUUUCUUUAUAACUGAGUGAAGAAUGUGGCAAGGCUGGGGAAAAUGUUUGUGCCUGUCUCUUUUUGCUCUCUCUCCCCCUCUGAACAGAAAUAGUAUCAUGGCAGUGCAUCUCUUUGUCUCUUAGGAAAAUAAAAAGCCAGGAAAAGGAAAUAACAUUGGGUGAUCUACUUUUGGAACAGCGUGAGAAAGAUCCAGAGAAUGUUAGUUUUGCAUUGAAGCCGCUUCAACUUCUACUUUUUCAAUAUUACAGGAAGUUUCCUAGCAUUGAGAGGAAAGAGAAACAGUGACCAGAGACUUUCUCCUAAUAUGCAGGAAGGACAGUGUGGAGGCCAAGACUAAUGUGGGUGAUGAGCUCCAGGCCUGCCUCAGAACAGGAGCUGAUGGGAGUGAGUCUCUGAUCUUCCAAGGUUGUUUCAAUAUCCAAAGUAGGUCCUCCAUGGCAGCUGCUAUUCAAUCAGCCACAUUUCCUGAACUGGAUAUUUUUAGUUGGCAGGAAAAAGGAAAACAAACCAAAAAAACCUAACUUGAUUAGGAAGGACGUUGGAAGGUCACUUCAUAGUUAGAAACUAAGAUUAGUGCUUGCGACUUGGCUGUAUUUCCCAGAUGACUUACUAUUUAACCUGUGCAUCAAUGGGCAAAGUGUUUAUUUUGCAUGGAGGGGAAGGGAGAAACUUCAUCAGCACAGGAUCCAGGCCCUACAGCCACGACCAGCUGAGGAUUCUCCCUUAAACCCUCAAGAAGUAUUCUGAUUUGCUCACUCAUGAGACUGGAGCUGUGCCUUGAAGUAGAGCGUGCACAGUAGUUCAUUCCCACGGCCAUAUUCCUGCUGGAUGAUAGAGCUUGGCCUGCACUAAAGGUCUAUCAUUAUUGCCCCCAAUAUGCUAGGGCCUAUCCUUCCUAAGAUAUGGCUGUGUCCACGGUCCUCCCCAGAAAGGGCUCUUAUAAGGCUCCCAAGGGAGCGAAAUUCAGACUCUGACCCAGAGACUCUCUUCACCU